ensembl:lncRNA
GUCUCCUUGAGCCUCUUGGGGUUUCUGUGGGCUCCUUGGGGUCUCCAUGGGCUCAGCAGAGUUUCCUUGAGCAUCUUUUGGGGUCUCCAUGGUGUCUCUUUGAGCAUCCUGGGGCCUUCAAGGUCUCCUUGAGCCUCUUGGGGUUUCUGUGGGCUCCUUGGGGUCUCUUUGAGAUUCUUGGGGUCUCCAUGGGCUCAUCAGAGUCUCCUUGAGCAUCUUUUGGGGUCUCCAUGGUGUCUCUUUGAGCACCUUGGGGCCUUCAAGGUCUCCUUGAGCCUCUUGGGGUCUCCUUGAGAUUCUUGGGGUCUCCAUGGGCUCAGCAGGGUUUCCUUGAGCAUCUUUU